CCUACGGGCGGCUGCAGUGGGGAAUAUUGGACAAUGGGCGAAAGCCUGAUCCAGCCAUGCCGCGUGUGUGAAGAAGGCCUUCGGGUUGUAAAGCACUUUCAGUGGGGAAGAAAGCCUUGGGGCUAAUACCCUCGAGGAAGGACAUCACCCACAGAAGAAGCACCGGCUAACUCCGUGCCAGCAGCCGCGGUAAUACGGAGGGUGCGAGCGUUAAUCGGAAUUACUGGGCGUAAAGCGCGCGUAGGCGGUCUGAUAAGCCGGUUGUGAAAGCCCCGGGCUCAACCUGGGAACGGCAUCCGGAACUGUCAGGCUAGAGGGCAGGAGAGGAAGGUAGAAUUCCCGGUGUAGCGGUGAAAUGCGUAGAGAUCGGGAGGAAUACCAGUGGCGAAGGCGGCCUUCUGGACUGACACUGACGCUGAGGUGCGAAAGCGUGGGUAGCAAACAGGAUUAGAUACCCCUGUAGUC
rnacentral:rRNA from 1 species